rnacentral:lncRNA from 1 species
UUAUUUUCUCCUCCAGGCAAAUUGACAGAUCAGCAGAAACCAGCGUGGGUUUCUGCGGCUCAGGAUGCAAGGCGGCGAGGUCGUUCGCGGCCCGCGCAGACUAAAGGACUGCGGGUUAAAAAAUGCUGACCCAAGGGGAAAAAGGAAAGGGUUAAGCCCAGAGGCCGCUGCUAUCUCUGCGUUUACGCAGCCUUGAGACCAAUCCCUGAGGCACGAAGUUGCAGAGAAGCGAGAAACUGAGCCAAUCGCUUUCCAGCACCCCGUCCGCCCGGGGCUUGCAAAGCGCUGUGUGUUGUUGGUAUUGCUUGCUUCAUCCUUUUCCGUAGAUGCAGGUGUAGGAGGCGGGCAGAGCAGUUAUCUCCCCGCGUUUUGCUGCAAAAUAAACUCCCCCUCCCGCGAUUUCACUGUAGCCCCCCCGCCCCCGUCCCCUGCCGCCUCGCGCUUCAUCCCUCUCUCUCUCUCUCUGCUCCUCCAUCCACUGCAGCCUCCGCGCCGCGCUUCCCAAGUGGGCCGUCAGGGCAAGACACACAGUCCGCGUUUCAGGCGGCGGCGGCGCGCGCGCGACUCGCGUUCAGGCGUGCGAAGGCGCGAGGCUGCUGCAGCCGGAGUAGGGCCUCCUCGCUUCUCUUUCCCUCCCAGGCCGGUCGGACGGAGUGUGGGGAUAGGUUUCUGCACCAUACGAACCCGCACCGGCGGCCUUCCUUCGCUGCUGGCGUUCCCCACCCGCCUUCUUCCUUGGCGUCGGGAGGGACGCGGAAUGGCGCUCCUUGCCUCCCCCUUCCGGGUCCAACAGGUGGCGGGGGGUUUCGGGCAAAGCUGCCGAAGGAGGACGGAGGGCGCUCGGGGCAGGCGAAGCGGCGGCGGCCGAGGCUGCUAGUGACCGAGCGGGGCGCUCAGCUCCAGGGCCAGGGAACCGGCGCGCGCGCGGGACUCCAGGCCGCGGUGCCCUGGAAACGCCCCGAAAUCCUUCCCGCCUCGGGCCCGUGGCCGCGUAGCCCUUAAGUACCGCUGAAUGAAACGGGGCUGCUUGCUUCGCGUCCCCGCUCGUCCUACGGGCUUAAGGCCGGAGAAGGGGGUCGCCGG